CCUACGGGCGGCAGCAGUGGGGAAUAUUGCACAAUGGGGGAAACCCUGAUGCAGCGAAGCCGCGUGAAGGACGAAGUAUUUCGGUACGUAACCUUCUAUUAACAGGGAAGAAAAGGACGGUACCUGACCAAGAAGCCCCGGCUAACUACGUGCCAGCAGCCGCGGUAAUACGUAGGGGGCAAACGUUAUCCGGAUUUACCGGGUGUAAAGGGAGCGUAGAGGGGCAUGAAGGUCUGUUGUGAAACACUGGGGCUCAACCCCGGAACUGCAUUGGAUACUGUGAGGCUUGAGUGUCGGAGAGGCAAGUGGAAUUCGUGGUGUAGCGGUGAAAUGCGUAGAUAUUAGGAGGAACACCAGUGGCGAAGGCAGCUUGCUGAACUACGACUGACGUUGAGGCUCGAAAGCGUGGGGAGCAAACAGGAUUAGAUACCCGGGUAGUC
rnacentral:rRNA from 1 species